rnacentral:rRNA from 1 species
UACGUAGGGGCCUAGCGUUGUCCGGAAUUAUUGGGCGUAAAGAGCUCGUAGGCGGUUCGGCAAGUCGGAUGUGAAAUCUCCACGCUUAACGUGGAGGGGCCAUUCGAAACUGCUGUGACUCGAGUCCGGUAGGGGAGUGUGGAAUUCCCGGUGUAGCGGUGAAAUGCGCAGAUAUCGGGAAGAACACCCGUGGCGAAGGCGGCUCUCGUGGGACGGUACUGGACGCUGAGGCACGAAAGCGUGGGGAGCAAACAGGG